AUCUUUCUAGUAUCAAAACUAGUACAUGUGACUUCCAAUCACCGAGUCUUGGUUAAAAUCCAAGGAAAGAUA
rnacentral:tRNA from 1 species